rnacentral:piRNA from 1 species
UUCAAACCUUGGCAGCCGCAUCUAAU